ACAUAACUGAUGCCUCCGCGUAUCGACUUUGUGCGCAUUUUAGCUAUUAUGUGUUCUUUUUAAUUGAAAUGAUUCUUUUUAAGAUUCAUCUAUUAAAAAUUUGCUUCGGCAUAAUUUUUUUUGAUGAUCUUGUUACUUUGAGUAAAUUAGAGUGUUCAAAGCAAACAGAUAUAGCAUUUGUGCGUUUGAAUACUACAGCAUGGAAUAACAAAAUUGAACAAGUCAGAAUUUUUUUGUUCUUUUUUCUUAUUUUGGCUUAGUUACGAUUAAUAGGAGUAGCUUGGGGGCAUUUGUAUUCAGAUGUCAGAGGUGAAAUUCUUAGAUUUUCUGGAGACAAACAACUGCGAAAGCAUUUGCCUAAAAUACUUCCAUUAAUCAAGAACGAAAGUUAAGGGAGUGAAGACGAUCAGAUACCGUCGUAAUCUUAACCAUAAACUAUGCCGACUAGGCUUUGGAUGAAAGAUUUUAAAAUAAGAGUUUUUCUUUUCUCUCCGGAGAUUAGAACUCUUAGAUUGCUUCCUUCAGUGCCUUAUGAGAAAUCAAAGUCUUUGGGUUCUGGGGCGAGUAUUCGCGCAAGCGAGAAAGUUAAAAGAAUUGACGGAAGGGCACCACCAGGCGUGGAGCUUGCGGCUUAAUUUGACUCAACACGGGAAAACUCACUAGUUUAAGACAAGAGUAGGAUUGACAGAUUAAUAGCUCUUUCUUGAUUUCUUGGAUGGUGAUGCAUGGCCGUUUUUAGUUCGUGAAUAUGAUUUGUCUGGUUAAUUCCGAUAACGAACGAGAUCUUAACCUGCUAAUUAGCGGCAAAUACGAUAUAUUCUUAUGUAGAAUUGAAUAUAGUGGAUUUGUUAGAUUUUGAAGAAAAUAUUGGAAUUACGUUAAAUGUGAUUCCUUUCCCUUUUCUACUUAAUUUUAACAUUUCCAUCUAUUUCUUUUUUGCGUAUGAAUGUAUUUGCUUGAUUGUAAAGCUUCUUAGAGGAACGAUGUGUG
rnacentral:rRNA from 1 species